rnacentral:rRNA from 1 species
UCAGUCGACUCCUACGGGGAGGCAGCAGUGAGGAAUUUUGCGCAAUGGGCGAAAGCCUGACGCAGCAACGCCGCAUGAGUGAUGAAGGCCUUCGGGUCGUAAAGCUCUGUCAAGUGGGAAGAACCUAUAUAAUGUUAAUAUCAUUAUAUACUGACGGUACCACUGAAGGAAGCACCGGCUAACUCCGUGCCAGCAGCCGCGGUAAUACGGGGGGUGCAAGCGUUAUUCGGAAUCAUUGGGCGUAAAGAGCACGUAGGCGGCCUGGUAAGUCAGAUGUGAAAGACCCGGGGCGUUAACCCCGGAAACGUGCAUUUGAUACUGUCAGGCUUGAGUAUGGGAGAGGGAAGUGGAAUUCCUGGUGUAGAGGUGAAAUUCGUAGAUAUCAGGAGGAACACCGGUGGCGAAGGCGACUUCCUGGACCAAUACUGACGCUGAGGUGCGAAGGCGUGGGUAGCAAACAGGAUUAGAUACCCUGGUAG